rnacentral:rRNA from 1 species
UACGGAGGGGGCGAGCGUUAUUCGGAAUUAUUGGGCGUAAAGGGCGCGUAGGCGGCUUGGCAAGUCAAAGGUGAAAUCCCUCGGCUCAACUGAGGAACUGCCUUUGAAACUGUCUGGCUUGAGGCCGGGAGGGGGUAGCGGAAUUCCCAGUGUAGCGGUGAAAUGCGUAGAUAUUGGGAGGAACACCAGUGGCGAAGGCGGCUACCUGGACCGGUUCUGACGCUGAUGCGCGAAAGCGUGGGUAGCAAACGGG